rnacentral:rRNA from 1 species
UACGGAGGGUGCAAGCGUUGCUCGGAAUUAUUGGGCGUAAAGGGCUGGUAGGUGGUCUCAUUUGUCUGGGGUGAAAUCCUUGGGCUUAACUCAAGAAGUGCCCCAGAAACGGUGAGACUAGAGUACUGGAGAGGGUCGUGGAAUUCCCGGUGUAGCGGUGAAAUGCGUAGAGAUCGGGAGGAACACCAGAGGCGAAGGCGGCGACCUGGACAGUUACUGACACUCAACUGCGAAAGCGUGGGGAGCAAACAGG